rnacentral:rRNA from 1 species
GGGGAAUAUUGCACAAUGGGGGAAACCCUGAUGCAGCCAUGCCGCGUGUGUGAAGAAGGCCUUCGGGUUGUAAAGCACUUUCAGUAGGGAGGAAAGGGUGUAACUUAAUACGUUAUAUCUGUGACGUUACCUACAGAAGAAGGACCGGCUAACUCCGUGCCAGCAGCCGCGGUAAUACGGAGGGUCCGAGCGUUAAUCGGGAUUACUGGGCGUAAAGCGUGCGCAGGCGGUUUGUUAAGCGAGAUGUGAAAUCCCCGGGCUCAACCUAGGAAUAGCAUUUCGAACUGGCGAACUAGAGUCUUGUAGAGGGGGGUAGAAUUCCAGGUGUAGCGGUGAAAUGCGUAGAGAUCUGGAGGAAUACCGGUGGCGAAGGCGGCCCCCUGGACAAAGACUGACGCUCAUGCACGAAAGCGUGGGGAGCAAAC